UGAGGAAUAUUGGUCAAUGGGCGAGAGCCUGAACCAGCCAAGUAGCGUGCAGGAUGACGGCCCUAUGGGUUGAAAACUGCUUUUAUAUGGGAAUAAAGUGAGGGACGUGUCCCUUAUUGCAUGUACCAUACGAAUAAGGACCGGCUAAUUCCGUGCCAGCAGCCGCGGUAAUACGGAAGGUCCAGGCGUUAUCCGGAUUUAUUGGGUUUAAAGGGAGCGUAGGCUGUUUGUUAAGCGUGUUGUGAAAUGUAGGAGCUCAACUUUUAGAUUGCAGCGCGAACUGGCAGACUUGAGUGCGCACAACGUAGGCGGAAUUCAUGGUGUAGCGGUGAAAUGCUUAGAUAUCAUGACGAACUCCGAUUGCGAAGGCAGCUUACGGGAGCGCAACUGACGCUAAAGCUCGAAGGUGCGGGUAUCGAACAGG
rnacentral:rRNA from 1 species